rnacentral:rRNA from 1 species
GACGAACGCUGGCGGCGUGCUUAACACAUGCAAGUCGAACGGAAAGGCCCUGCUUUUGUGGGGUGCUCGAGUUGCGAACGGGUGAGUAACACGUGAGUAACCUGCCCUUGACUUUGGGAUAACUUCAGGAAACUAGGGCUAAUACCGGAUAGGAGCUCCUGCUGCAUGGUGUUGGCUGGAAAGUUUCGGCGGCUGGGGAAGGACUCGCGGCUUAUCAGCUUUAUGGUGUGGUAGUGGCUUACCCAGGCUUUGACGGGUAGCCGGCCUGAGAGGGUGACCGGCCACAUUGGGACUGAGAUACGGCCCAGACUCCUACGGGAGGCAGCAGUGGGGAAUAUUGCACAAUGGGCGGAAGCCUGAUGCAGCAACGCCGCGUGCGGGAUGACUGCCUUCGGGUUGUAAACCGCUUUCGCCUGUGACGAAGCGUGAGUGACGGUAAUGUGUAAAGAAGCACCGGCUAACUACGUG